rnacentral:tRNA from 1 species
UGGCCUAUAGCUCAGCUGGUUAGAGCGCACGCCUGAUAAGCGUGAGGUCGGUGGUUCGAGUCCACUUAGGCCCACCA